rnacentral:rRNA from 1 species
GACGAACGCUGGCGGCGUGCUUAACACAUGCAAGUCGAACGGAAAGGCCCUGCGGGGUUCUCGAGCGGGGAACGGGUGCGUAAGACGUAGGCGAUCGUCACUGCCCUUUGGGAUAAGCAUGGGAUACUGGGUCUAAUGCUGAAUACGACCACGCGCUCCAUCUGGUUUGGUGGGAAGCGUGUGCGGUGUGGGUUGGGCCCGCGGCCUAUCAGCUUGUUGGUGGGGUAGUGGCCUACCAAGGCUACGACGGGUAGCCGGCCUGAGAGGGUGACCGGCCACAUUGGGACUGAGAUACGGCCCAGACUCCUACGGGAGGCAGCAGUGGGGAAUAUUGCACAAUGGGCGGAAGCCUGAUGCAGCGACGCCGCGUGCGGGAUGACGGCCUUCGGGUUGUAAACCUCUUUCGAUUGGGACGAAGCGCGAGUGACGGUACCUAGAGAAGAAGCACCGGCUAACUACGUG